rnacentral:rRNA from 1 species
UGCGGGGGGGGUAAGCGUUGUUCGGAAUUACUGGGCGUAAAGGGCUCGUAGGCGGCCAACUAAGUCAGACGUGAAAUCCCUCAGCUUAACUGGGGAACUGCGUCUGAUACUGGAUGGCUUGGAUUCGGGAGAGGAAUGCGGAAUUCCAGGUGUAGCGGUGAAAUGCGUAGAUAUCUGGAGGAACACCGGUGGCGAAGGCGGCAUUCUGGACCGACAUUGACGCUGAGGAGCGAAAGCCAGGGGAGCAAACGGG